CGAUGCAGUACUCGCAACAGGCCCCGCCUCCGGUGAUUAGGCCGCCUGGACAGAUGUUUCAGCCUGGAAUGCGUGGACCGCCGCCUCAGAUGCCGCCUCCACAGUUUGCUCAGAGACCUGGUGGACCGCCAGGACCGUAUCCUAUGCCUCCACAGCCUCAGUAUGGACAGAGACCAAUGGGACCACCUCCACAGUUGAUGAGAGGACCUCCUCCUAGACCUGGAAUGGUGCCGCCUCCACCUGGAGGUGUUUUUGGACCGCCGCGACCUGGGAUGCCUCCACCUCCUA
rnacentral:lncRNA from 1 species